GCGCUGCUUGGGUUAAAGCAGGAAGCCUCCUACCUUAGGGCCUUAAAACCACUAGGACUCAGCUAAGCAAAUCCCCACAAGAGAAUUCCACUGGUUCCUUAAACCACUGACACCUGGGCUUUCAAGAGAUUUCCAGUUUAAUUGCUAGGAGAACACACACACCAUUAUCCUUAAUAGUUUCAAGAUAUUGGUAUAUUUUAUAGGUACCAAAACAGUGACUUUUAUUUGGGAGCAGUUGUAAUGAGGUAAGAAGUAAAUAAACAAUAAUUUCAAAUC
rnacentral:lncRNA from 1 species